rnacentral:rRNA from 1 species
GUAGGUGGCAAGCGUUGUCCGGAAUUAUUGGGCGUAAAGCGCGCGCAGGCGGUUCUUUAAGUCUGAUGUGAAAGCCCACGGCUCAACCGUGGAGGGUCAUUGGAAACUGGAGAACUUGAGUACAGAAGAGGAAAGCGGAAUUCCACGUGUAGCGGUGAAAUGCGUAGAGAUGUGGAGGAACACCAGUGGCGAAGGCGGCUUUCUGGUCUGUAACUGACGCUGAGGCGCGAAAGCGUGGGGGAGCAAACAGGAUUAGAUACCCUGGUAGUCCACGCCGUAAACGAUGAGUGCUAAGUGUUAGGGGGUUUUCCGCCCCUUAGUGCUGCAGCUAACGCAUUAAGCACUCCCGCCCUGGGAGUACGGCCGCAAGGCUG